AAAAUUGACCCCGUAACUUCGGGAUAAGGGGUACCGUGGUAGGGUUUAUAGCCCGAGACGGUGACACUAAAAUGGCUCUAGCGACUGUUUACUAAAAACACAGCACGGUGCAAACACGCAAGUGGACGUAUACCGUGUGACGCGUGCUCGGUGUCGGUAGGUUAAGGGGAAGGGUUAGCCGCAAGGCGAAGCUCAUAACCGAAGCCCCGAUAAACGGCGGCCGUAACUAUGACGGUCCUAAGGUAGCGAAGUUCCUUGUCGGGUAAGUUCCGACCUGCAUGAAUCGCGUAACGACUGGAGCACUGUCUCAAUGUCAAACUCGGUGAAACUGCAGUCGACGUGAAGAUACGUCGUUCCCGCAACAAGACGGAAAGACCCCAUGAACCUUUACUGUAGGUUAGUAUUGUGCUUAGGCACAGCCUGUGUAGCAUAGGUGGGAGGCGAUGAAACGGUGGCGCAAGCCAUCGUGGAGCCGCAACAUGAAAUACCACUCUGGCUGUUUCUGAGUCCUAACCUGGUCCCGUGAAUCCGGGCCGGGGACAGUGCUAAUUGGGCAGUUUGACUGGGGCGGUCUCCUCCCAAAGAGUAACGGAGGAGUUCAAAGGUACCCUCAGCCCGGUUGGCAAUCGGGCAUUGAGCAUAAGGGUAGAAGGGUGCUUGACUGCGAGUCUGAUAAGACGAGCAGAUGCGAAAGCAGGACCUAGUGAUCCGGCGGUUCCGAAUGGAAGGGCCGUCGCUCAUCAGAUAAAAGGUACUCUGGGGAUAACAGGCUUAUCGCCCCCGAGCGUCCAUAGCGGCGGGGCGGUUUGGCACCUCGAUGUCGGCUCAUCGCAUCCUGGGGCUGGAGAAGGUCCCAAGGGUUUGGCUGUUCGCCAAUGAAAGCGUUACGUGAGCUGGGUUUAGACCGUCGUGAGACAGGUCGGUCCCUAUCUGUUGUGGGCGUAAGAAACUUGAAGGGAUUUCUUCUUUAGUACGAGAGGAUUUGGAAGGACGCACCCCUAGUGUCCCAGUUAUCGCGCUAGCGGUAUGGCUGGGUAGCCACGUGCGGCAUGGAUAAACGCUGAAAGCAUAUAAGCGUGAAGCCAGUCCCAAGAUGAGGUUUCUUAGACCCCUGGAAGACUACCAGGUUGAUAGGCUGGGUGUGUAAAGGCGGCAACGUCUUAGCUUACCAGUACUAACGGUCAUUCGCUUGGCCAC
rnacentral:rRNA from 1 species